rnacentral:rRNA from 1 species
AGUGAACGCUGGCGGUAGGCCUGACACAUGCAAGUCGAACGGCAGCACAGUAAGAGCUUGCUCUUACGGGUGGCGAGUGGCGGACGGGUGAGGAAUACAUCGGAAUCUACUUUUUCGUGGGGGAUGACGUAGGGAAACUUACGCUAAUACCGCAUACGACCUACGGGUGAAAGCAGGGGAUCUUCGGACCUUGCGCGAUUGAAUGAGCCGAUGUCGGAUUAGCUAGUUGGCGGGGUAAAGGCCCACCAAGGCGACGAUCCGUAGCUGGUCUGAGAGGAUGAUCAGCCACACUGGAACUGAGACACGGUCCAGACUCCUACGGGAGGCAGCAGUGGGGAAUAUUGGACAAUGGGCGCAAGCCUGAUCCAGCCAUACCGCGUGGAUGAAGAAGGCCUUCGGGUUGUAAAGCCCUUUUGUUGGGAAAGAAAAGCAGCAGGUUAAUACCCCGCUGUUCUGACGGUACCCAAAGAAUAAGCACCGGCUAACUUCGUG